rnacentral:rRNA from 1 species
UACAGAGGGGGCAAGCGUUGUUCGGAAUUACUGGGCGUAAAGGGCGCGUAGGCGGGUCGUUAAGUCCGACGUGAAAUCCCUCGGCUCAACUGAGGAAGUGCAUCGGAUGCUGGCGGUCUUGAGUCCUGGAGAGGGUAGCGGAAUUCCCAGUGUAGAGGUGAAAUUCGUAGAUAUUGGGAGGAACACCGGUGGCGAAGGCGGCUACCUGGACAGUGACUGACGCUGAGGCGCGAAAGCAUGGGUAGCAAACAGG